rnacentral:rRNA from 1 species
UACGUAGGGACCAAGCGUUGUUCGGAUUUACUGGGCGUAAAGGGCGCGUAAGCGGCAAAUUAAGUCAGCUGUGAAAUCUCCGAGCUUAACUCGGAACUGUCAGCUGAUACUGAUGUGCUAGAGUGCGGAAGGGGCAAUCGGAAUUCUUGGUGUAGCGGUGAAAUGCGUAGAUAUCAAGAGGAACACCUGAGGUGAAGACGGGUUGCUGGGCCGACACUGACGCUGAGUGCGCGAAAGCCAGGGGAGCAAACGGG